GUGCCUAAGGUAUGCAAGUCGAACGAUUCCUGUAUCUUCGGAUACAGGGAGUGGCAAACGGCUGAGUAACGCGUAGGAACCUACCCCAAACUCGAGUAUAGCCCCGCGAAAGCGGGGGUAAUCCUCGAUAGCCCGUGAAGUAUUUUACUUCACGGUAAAGCUUUUGCGGUUUGGGAUGGGCCUGCGUCCUAUCAGGUAGUUGGUGAGGUAAAUGCUCACCAAGCCUACGACGGGUAGCUGGUCUGAGAGGAUGGUCAGCCAGACUGGGACUGCGACACGGCCCAGACUCCUACGGGAGGCAGCAACUAGGAAUUGUGCGCAAUGGACGAAAGUCUGACGCCGCGACAUCGCGUGGAGGAUGAAGGUCUUCGGAUUGUAAACUCCUUUUCUUACCGAACAAGUUCUGAGUGUAGGUAAGGAAUAAGUGCCUGCUAACCACGUGCCAGAAGCAUCGGUAAUACGUGGGGCACGAGCGUUAUCCGGAUUUACUGGGCGUAAAGAGAAGCGUAGGCGGCUCAAUAAGUUUGGUGUUAAAUCUUCCGGCUCAACCGGAAACAAGCACCGAAAACUAUCGAGAUUGAGUCGAGUAGGGAAGAGGGGAAUUCCUGGUGGAGCGGUUAAAUGCGUAGAUAUCAGGAGGAAUACCAAGGGCGAAGGCACCUCUUUGGACUCGUACUGACGCUGAGGCUCGAAAGCGUGGGUAGCAAAACGGAUUAGAUACCCGUGUAGUCCACGCCGUAAACGAUCCCUGUUAGAUGU
rnacentral:rRNA from 1 species